rnacentral:rRNA from 1 species
GACGAACGCUGGCGGCGUGCUUAACACAUGCAAGUCGAGCGGUAAGGCCCUUUCGGGGGUACGACGAGCGGCGAACGGGUGAGUAACACGUGGGUGACCUCGCCCUCCAGCUCUGGGAUAAGCCUGGGAAACCGGGUCUAAUACUGGAUAUGACUCCAUGACGCAUGUUGUGGGGUGGAAAGCCUUGUGCGGCUGAGGAUGGGCCCGCGGCCUAUCAGCUUGUUGGUGGGGUGANGGCCUACCAAGGCGACGACGGGUAGCCGGCCUGAGAGGGCGACCGGCCACACUGGGACUGAGACACGGGCCCAGACUCCUACGGGAGGCAGCAGUGGGGAAUCUUGCGCAAUGGGCGAAAGCCUGACGCAGCGACGCCGCGUGAGGAUGACGGCCUGUGU